GGGCCCGCACAAGCGGUGGAGCAUGUGGUUUAAUUCGAUGCAACGCGAAGAAUCUUACCAGGGUUUGACAUAGUACGAAGUUUUUUGAAAAAAAACCACCUUCGGGAACGUACAUACAGGUGGUGCAUGGCUGUCGUCAGCUCGUGUCGUGAGAUGUUGGGUUAAGUCCCGCAACGAGCGUAACCCUUGUUUUAGUUGCCUUUCGAGGAUAUUUAGAAAGACUGCCGAUUAUAAAUCGGAGGAAGGUAAGGACGACGUCAAGUCAUCAUGCCCCUUACACUCUGGGCUACACACGUGCUACAUUGGGUAGAACAAUAAGUUGCUAAGUUGCGAAACCAAGCGAAUCUUCAAAUCUACUCUAAGUUCGGAUUGUAGGCUGCAACUCGCCUACAUAAAGAUGGAAUC
rnacentral:rRNA from 1 species